AUCAUUUUAGAUGGAAAAGUAUUAAACAGUUCUUAUACGUAGCGCACGCCUUCUCCUCGUCAAGCUUCAGUUUUGAUUUGUUUUCCAAAGUAGUAGUUGUUAAUGCGCACAUAAUAGAGUAUGUAGUAUACGCAGUAUUCAUAGGUGUAAGUUAUAUGUUCAUGGAUUUUUUCAUAAAACAAUUCACAAGACGCUUGGAUUCAAAUAAAGCAUUGAAUCCUUUGAUGAGGGGUGUGUCUUUUGGAAUCCUUCUGCAGACUGCGGUGUGGGCUAUACUGCACGCAAACAAUUUGGCAGACUCUGUGCGGUAUUUCAUGGUCAGCAUGAACAAGUCACCGUCUUGGACCAAAUGCCACAAGACAUCGAACGUGACGUGUCUGUCUUCGCAGGAAUU